CUACGUAGGUGACAAGCGUUAUCCGGAUUUACUGGGCGUAAAGAGUGAGCAGGCGGUUAAUUAAGUCUGAGGUUAAAGCGUGGGGCUCAACCCCAUAAAGCCUUGGAAACUGAUUGACUAGAGUACGGGAGAAGUGAAGGGAACUCCAUGUGUAGCGGUGAAAUGCGUAGAUAUAUGGAAGAACACCAGUGGCGAAGGCGCUUCACUAGCCCGAAACUGACGCUCAGUCACGAAAGCGUGGGUAGCAAAUAGGAUUAGAUACCCUAGUAGUCCACGCUGUAAACGAUGACAACUAAAUAUUGCCGCGAGGCAGUGUUGAAGCUAACGCAUUAAGUUGUCCGCCUGGGGAGUACGGUCGCAAGACUGAAACUUAAAGGAAUUGACGGGG
rnacentral:rRNA from 1 species